rnacentral:rRNA from 1 species
GAUGAACGCUGGCGGCGUGCCUAACACAUGCAAGUCGAACGGAAAGGCUCUUGCUUGCAGGGCUACUGGAGUGCCGAACGCGGGAGUAACACGAGGGCGAUCUACCCUGCACUUCCGGAGAAGCCUGGGAAACUGGGUUUAAUCUCGGACAGGACACUAGCUUCGAUGCCAUGCUGGAAAGUUUUUCGGCGUGGGCUGGGCUCGCGGCCUAUCUGCUUGUUGGUGGGGUAGUGGCCUACCAACCCCUCGACGGAUAGCCGGCCUUAGAGGGUGUACGGCCUCAAUGGGACUGCGGUACGGCCCAGUCUCCUACGGGAGGCAGCAGUGGGAAAUAUUGCACAGUCGGCGCACGCCUGAUGCAGCGACGCCGCGUGGGUGAUGACGGCCUUCUGGUUAUAAACUCCUUUCGCUAGGGACGAAGCGCAUGUGACGGUACCUGGAGAAGAAGCACCGGCUAACUACGUG